rnacentral:rRNA from 1 species
GUGACCUCAAAUCAGGUAGGACUACCCGCUGAACUUAGC